AAAAAAAAAAAACCCAAGAGUCUAUAGAGAUUACAGGUUGUGGAGGAUGCAGAAUACAAAUUCCAAACGAUAAAAAUAAAUUCCCAUGUUCAAGAAUCUCUCCAAACAGCACACUAUGUUAACAGAUAACUACAUAAUAUCAAAUUCACUACAUAAUUGAUGCUGCUAGUGCCUGCUACUACUACAUUCACUCAUAUAGGAUUAAAGCAGAACCCUGGUGGUUGGCUUGGUGCCUUGGUCAGUACGGGAAAUAGGCCGAGGCCAUAUGAAUUCAGACUGAGCCUCCAUAGGCCCAGACCCACAGAGGUGGUUGAGGAUGCAAUGAAUGAAGAUAUGUAGAAAAUGGUCAUAAGAUGCAAUGCAAGGCCUAGGAAAUCCAAGCCGUCAUCAUGAGGAGAGAACAUGCCACAUGGACUAACUAACUUACUCUGGAAGGUUCUGAUGACAGAAUGGAGGUCCCCAAGUUGGAGGAUCCCAACUUCGCACAGAAAGAUCAUGUGAGGAUGUAACUAGAGUGAUGGCAGACUAGGUAGAAAGAAACAACUUUACACAAGAAGGGCACUACUCGAACCCUACAGGUAGGACCCGUAGGCCUAUUCUACCUCUCAAACUUGGUAAGUGUACUUUUGCCCAAGUUAUCUUCACGUACUCUAUCAAACUGCUUUCCGGCCAACCACUGGCCAGGUAGCGGCAACGCGAACAUGUUUUUCUUUGUUGCAGUCUAACAAGGUUCCCAGAGGACCAAUCAAGGCCUGAAGGAUUCAAAUUCAUUGUGCCGAUUUCUAGCCUC